GCGGUUGAGAAUACAAGACAAUACAAGACAAGACAAGUGAAGACUAGACGGCGUGGAGGUGUUCGGACGCAAGUGAGCGCCGAAGAAGUCAGCGUCCGCCAGGAGCGGGACUAAGCCGUCGAGCCGUGGGCCCGAGCUUCCAGACUCCUACCGGCAGAACCUGGACUGCCUAGCCUGAGGAGGUAGGACAAGGUCCCACUGCGUGAAUGGAGUGAGCUGUCGGGCCACGGGCUCAAUCUUACAGACUCCCACAGGCAGACCCUGGACCGCCUAACCUCCUGAGCAUCGCGUGACAACCUGGAGUACGCUCAAGGAGCGACCACUGCCUUCCGUAGACGAUGGCCCGGCGCUCUUCACCUACGCGACCAUAUGCCAGCACUGUUGCGCCUUCGGACGUGAAUCAUGGUGGCUUCGAUAGAAGAGUCAGACUUGGACAUCUUUAUUCCCAUGCUCCCGACACUCUAUUCCAAGAAAGACAAGGGUCGCAUGUUAUCCUGGAGCUGUGCCGCCUUUACCAGAAAGACAACGGUUGUUCGGCUGGUCUUGUGGUAAGCGACGAAGAGCUCCUAUUUUAUUUGAAGUGGUUACCGACACACAUCAGAUUUCCCUUGAGGCACCAGCAUCGAAGGUUGAUACUGGCGCUGGAAGAAUCUGGGCUCACUUGGGAACGAAUGAGGAAGAGAUUCAAGCCUUGCAGCGACCGGACGACCUUCGCAACAUUUGACAUUCCAUUCAGCGACUACGCUGCCAUUUACCUCGCUGGAUGUGGCGUAUCUCUGGUGGCAUUUGGCGCAGAGGUGCUUUGUCAGCGCUGCUACCACGCAUGGCACCACAAAGCUGCCCGAGUGUAUACCGGCUACAACGGCCUAACCAAGCUUGCGAGAGGGAAAAUGUGAAGCGUCGACAAUAAAUUCCUUAGAGAGAAAGAGGGAGGCUAGGUCGUCAGCGCUCUCUGUACAGCCCAGCACAUUUGUGUCGUUAUUGUUCUUGUUGUUGUUCAUAUUUUCACAUGUCUGUGAAAAUAAUAAAG